GCUACGGUGGCCGAGUGGUCUAAGGCGGUAGAUUUAAGCUCUACUGGAGAGAUCCGCGCGCGUUCGAACCGCGUCCGUAGCA
rnacentral:tRNA from 1 species